UAGUAACCGGAACAACUUUCCCAUCGACCGAAGCCUCUCGAGUUUUAUCGUCUCCAGAAACAUCGUUCUUCUCAUCGUCGCUACACUCAUCCUCCGGUAAUAAAGCAGGGCCCGGACCGGAAAAGAAUCGGAGCAGGAGAGUCACCGCGGCAGCAGCCAGAACCUGGCCGAAACAGUUGCCGCCAAAUUUCACCACAUGGCUCACCAUUUUCCCGCCUAAACGCACCGUUUCCCUUCUAUCUCCAACCUCCUCCUCCUGCAACCUCAGUAAGCUGAGCAGCUAACUAUA
rnacentral:misc_RNA from 1 species